UAAUCGGGUCAGCACUUCUCCUGCUGUGGAAACUAGUCACCACAAUACAUGACCGCAGAGAGUUCAUCUGUGUUACUGUUGUUCCUUGUGAGCAGGUAUUGUGCUGAGUGUGAUCGGAGCUAUUGUGCUAAUCGGGUCAGCACUUCUCCUGCUGUGGAAGCUAGUCACCACAAUACAUGACCGCAGAGAGUUCAUCAAGUUCGAGAAGGAACGUGCAAUGGCUAAAUGGGACACGGGAGAAAACCCGAUUUACAAACAGGCAAUAUCGACUUUCCAGAAUCCUAUGUACAGUGAGAGUGAUCUCUAAUAGACUUACCCGAAGGCAUUACUCUAAAUUCGGUGCCUUACUUCCAUCAAUUCCUUCAAGAAAAACGUUUUCCAUUACUCUGUCUUCGUUUUCUAGCAGUGAUUUAAAUUGUUCUUUACUAGUUUGUGAAAAAAGUGUUGUUUUAAUUUUAUGCUGUGCUAAAUAGUUUGAACUGGGUAGCUAUAUAUUUUUUAUAUAAUAUAAAUAAAUGAUGGGAAUGAACAACUACUACAAUGCAUUAAAAAUAGUUUAAUAAACUGCUGUCAUUCAAAUGAAUGUUUCUAAAUGUAACAUUACUUAAUUAUUCUAUUUUUCAAUAAACGUUAAAUUAUUAAAGCUACCAUGCUAAAAGUUAUAAAACCA